rnacentral:rRNA from 1 species
CCUACGGGGUGCAGCAGUGGGGAAUAUUGCACAAUGGGGGAAACCCUGAUGCAGCGACGCCGCGUGAGUGAAGAAGUAUUUCGGUAUGUAAAGCUCUAGCAGCAGGGAAGAAAGAGCGACCUGUGGGUCGCCAGACGGUACCUGAUGAAGAAGCCCCGGCGAACUACGUGCCAGCAGCCGCGGUAAUACGUAGGGGGCAAGCGUUCUCCGGAUGUACUGGGUGUAAAGGGAGCGUAGACGGCAGCGCAAGGCGGAAGUGAAAUGCCGGGGCUUAACCCCGGAACUGCUUUGGAAACUGUGCAGCUAGAGUGCAGGAGAGGUAAGUGGAAUUCCUUGUGUAGCGGU